GCCCAGACACCAGAAUUCUAAUAGGUAGCACCUUUCCUACACCUAAUGUAGGCCCAGACCACAGAAUUCUAGUAGGUAGCAUCUAUACAGCACCUACUAUACGCCCAGACCCCAGAAUUCUAAUAGGUAGCAUCUAUACAGCACCUAAUGUAUACCAGAUCCCAAAAUUCUAGUAGAUCGCAACUUUCCUGCACCUAACGUAGGCCCAGAGCCCAUAAUGCUAAUAGUUAGGAUCUAUGGAGCAGCUAACGUAGACCCAGACCCCAGAAGUCUAAUAGCUAGCAUCUAUACAGCAACUACCGUAGUCCCAGAAACUAGAAUUCGAAUAGGUAGCAUCUAUACAGCAAUUAAUGUAUGCCCAGACCACACAAUUCUAGUAGGUAGCAUCUAUACAUCUCCAAAUGUAGGUAGCAUCUAUACAUCUCCAAAUGUAGGCCAGGAUCCCAGAAUUGUAAUAGUUAACAUCUAUAUAACACCUAAUGUAUGCCCAGGCCACAGAAUUCUAAUAGGUAGCACUAGGCCCAGACCACAGCAUUUUAAUAGCUAGCAUCUAGACAGAACCUAAUGUAUACCCAGACCACAGAAUUCUAGUAGGUAGCAUCUAUACAGCACCUACCAUAUGCCCAGACACUAGAAUUCUAAUAGCUAGCAUCUACUGAGCACCUAUUGUAUGACCAGACCACAGAAUUCUAAUAACUGCCAUCUAUAUAGCACCUAUUAUAUGAAUAGACCACAGCAUUCUAAUACGUAGCAUCUAUACAGCACCUACAGUAUGCCCAGACCACAGAAUUCUAAUAGCUGGUAUAUAUAUAUAGCAACUAUUGCAUGACCAGACAACAAAACUCUAAGAGCUAACAUCUAUUCAGCACCUACUGUAUUGCCCAAACCCCAGAAUUCUAAUAGCUAACAUCUAUGCAGCACCUACCAUUUGCCCAGAUCCCAGAAUUCUAAUAGGCAGCACCUAUACAACAACAACUGUAGGCCGAAAACACAGAAUUCUAAUAGCUAGCAUCAAUGCAACACCUACAGUAUGACCAGAUCCCAUAAUUCUAAUAGGUAGCAUCUAUAAAGCACCUAAUGUAUGCCCAGACCACAGAAUUCUAGUAGCUAGAAUCUAUACAGCACCUAAUGUAUACCAAGACCAAAGAAUUCUAAUAGCUUGCAUCUGUAUAGCACCUAAUGUAUGCCCAGGCCACAGAAUUCAAAUAGGCAUCAUCUAUACAGCACCUACCGUAUGCCUAGACUACAAGUAUUCGAAUAGCUACCAACUAUACAGCACCUAUCGUAGGCCCAGACCCCAGAAUUCUAAUAGCUAACAUCUAUAUAGCACCUAAUGUAUGCCCAGACCCCAGAAUUCUAAUAGGUAGCACCUUUCCUACACCUAAUGUAGGCCUAGACCCCAGAAUUCUAAUAGGUAGCAUCUAUAUAGCACCUAAUGUAUACCCAGACCACAGAAUUCUAAUAGGUAGCAUCUAGACAGCACCUAUUGUAUGCCCAGAC
rnacentral:lncRNA from 1 species